AUAAAAUGAAGAACAGCCUCAGGACAUAAAAAUAAAACAAAUCUCCUUAAGCAACUCCCGACUGAGCGAUCCUGACUGGAUGGUCACGGGGUAUCUAUCAUGCUUAAACUCCGGUAAAUAAAUCCACACCUGUAUGAGAAAACUUAAACCCACACUAUGUGAGAUGAAAAUAUUCUUUACUAGAUACACACAAGACAUGGUUGUGACCGUUUUUCUAAAAUUAACCUAUGUGGCUGAAAGUGGCUAAAAACGCAAGAUAUGGCUAAGACCCCGCAAAGCCAAGAACCUAAGAUUUACUAGGAAUAUCGUACCCUAUGUGGGUUGCCUACGUAUCCCGCCCCGAAAGAUGAGAAUCAAGUUUGCUUAGUUCGGGCAGAUUGGAUACGAGCGAGAAUAAUAAAAAAACCACUAAUUCAUAGAAAUCACAUUUUUUCUUUCUUUUUCUUGAAAAAUGAUGAAACAUGCAAAACCUUUUUGGAUUUUCGUUUUUUUCGAUUUUUGAAAAAUGAUAAAGAGUGCAAAAUCUUUUUGAAUUUUCAUGCUCUUUUUCCUUAAUAAAAUGUAACAAAAAUAUAAUUGGGCCAUACUCGCUUUAUCCUCACACUUCAACCUCUCUCUUUUCUUUUCUUUUCCUCUUCUUUCUGUUUUUCAUUGUUUUUGUUUUUUUUUCUUCAUUUACCCUCAGCUAUCAUUGGUCCGCCAAAUGACCCUUUUACCCUUGAAUAAAUGCAACAUGUAGCACAUAAGAUGCAUCAGGAUGGUCUUUUAUUUUUUGGGGUAUACCUGCCCUAGACGGACUCAACCCCUAUGUUGAGUCUCCAAAGUCAAAUGCACAUGAUGCAAACAAACGUUCCUACUAGGGAUCCGACAUGAGGCUAUGUUUUUCUAGGUUUAAAAACCUGGGUUUAUUUGUUCUAGACUUGGCUUACCCGAGCGGACAACUCGAGCCGGGGGGGUGAGGGGGGGCAGCAUACCGUGAAUACAAAAGCUUCAUCGGCUUUGCAACUUGUCCGAACCUCGUUCUAAAUUUGGGAUAUGACUCUAACAGAAAAGAAGUCACACGAAGUGCACACUUCUUCAUGAUUUAGGAGACUCAGAGAGAAGAGGGAUUUCGCCACAGUUUAUAUAUAGUUCACGGAAUAUCAAAGAGGUAAAAGCAACCAAUUAGCACAUAAGGCCCAAAUCAUAUAACAAAAUUAGAUAAUGGAUAAAGCCAACUAUAAUAAUUAUUCUAAGCUCGAAUUCUUGAACCCUGAACCAGAGAUUCUGGGUUCGAUCCCUAGCAGAGUCGCCAGAGCUGUCACACCUCCUUUUUACCUUACACCCCCGGAAAAGGAUGUAUAAAAGAGAGUUUUUCCAAUUAAAGGACAAUCGAAACGGGAUUUAUUUUAAACGAUUCAGAGUCUCCACUUGGGAGAUUUAUGGUGUCCCAAGUCACCGGUUCAAAUCCCGAGUCGAGGAAAGGGUUGACUCUGUUUAACAGUCCGCGAACCAAAAAUCCGGGUAAGGAAUUCUGUUAACCCGGGAGAAGGUGUUAGGCAUUUCCGAGUUCCAUGGUUCUAGCACGGUCGCUCAACUGCUAUAUUUGGCUUAAUUAUCUGAUUUUAAACAAUUAUGAACCUACGUGCAUUUUAACUUUCAACCGCUUUAUUUCAUUUUUUAGAGAAAAUUGCAACGUUAUUAAAACACAUCUCGAACCACGUCACAUAAAUGCGCCCGUGGUCUUGACAUAUUUUAACAUCAUUGAGAUUUGGAUCGGGUCACAUGAAAUGCACACCCGAAUUUAGUAUUUACAAAUCACAACUACGUCACGGGAACCGUACCCGCAGCCAUGAUAAUUAUUUAAUUAAUGCCUAAAGCAAGUAGCGCAUUUAAUUAUUUUCCGAUCUACUCUAAAAUUUGUUGUAAGGACCAGUUUUACGAGUAGCCAUCAUAUAACAUUGUUAUUGAGCAUGAUAACGUCAACUUUGUAUCAACAACCAUUGCACCAUCGACUAAAAGAAAAACCUAGAAAUCUGUUGUUUAAAAUCACAAUAUAAAAUCGACCUGUCCAUUAACCAUAAUUUGAUCAAAGCAUGCAACUUAAGGAUAUUUGAAUAACAAAAAGAUAAUCCAGCAGAAAAAGAACCCACUAAUUUAAACUGAAUCAUUUUUAUAGAAAGCACAUUAUAUACCUCUAUUAUCAAUUUGUUGGAAUGACAUGAAACUUCAUAGGGACAAAUACGUACACAACUUAACAACCAUUAAAAGAUAAGAGUGACCAUUGUACUCUAAGUAAUUUUCAAUGAGUCAAAGUUAUAAGGAUCGAAAUUUUCAACAGAGAAACAUUUAUCUUGAUGAACAACAACAAUCAAAAUGAAGCUAAAUCCAGCUUCUGAAUCCAUGAAAAAAAUGAAAGCCAAAUAGCAGAGAAAGAAACCAACUGACCGGAACAUUUUUCGACGACCUCGACGGAACUACGACCAGAACGAAACCAGCAUCACCUCGACGUACGACCGGAAUGCCUGAGUUUACAGCAACGUCAAGUUUCAGCAGCUCAAGCUCGACGGAAAAAAAUGGACAGCGAUAACCAUAGACCGGAACCAACGUACGAUAACUCCCACACGACUCGAACUCACAAACGACUCCAAACUUCAGCUGCCUUACGAUCGUUACCUCACUCCAUUCAUGUGUGUGACUGUGUGCGUGCGAAGGUGAAGCUCGUCAGAUAUGGCGUCGCUGGAAAAAGCUCUGGCGGGUCAAGGUCGACGAGAUGGGUGGUGGAGAGCUGGUUGUUGGGUCGUUUUGCUAGGGUGGGGUCGUCGGAAGCUGCUGGUGUGAGGUCGCUUGGUUCUACUUGUCGCGUUCGGAACUCGUUACUCUGACGGGCAGGUGGAGCUCGUUUUUCCAGCGAGUUUUAGGCAGAUACGAGGUCGUUGGUGUUUUCUCUGGCGAGCUAGGUUGUUCCCGGUUUUGGGGGCUGUUGGUCGAAGAAGAAGAACGGGAAAGGGGUCGUUGGAGAAGAAAACGUGAAGGGGUGGGGGUUGCUCGUUUGUGCGCAGCCUUUUUUAGCUGCUACUUUUUCGUUCCUUUCGUUAUUUUUGUUCCCUUUUUUGGCGUUGA
rnacentral:lncRNA from 1 species